rnacentral:lncRNA from 1 species
GCCUGUCUUGAAUGAAAUCUGACAGAAGAUGUUACAGCAGUUUUCUCUCUGGAAAUGGUUACCUUUCGGGAUUAUUCUUGGCACUCUCUUCCCAUUUGGCUCUGGCCAGCACGACGAUGGGCCCAAUCAUGUGCAUUAUGGAAAUGCAGAAAGAUGCAGAGAGGCCCCUCACUCUUAUCACCUUCCUUCCCAGAUUGGCUUUUCCCAAUCAGCACAUUUUUCACCCUGUGAAUAUAGUCUUACACAUGGGUCACAGAACAAGGCUGAUUUAAUUACUUCAAUCGUGAGUUGACUUGAAUCUGCUGAAAUAAUAUUUGGAUCGACACAAUAAUUGAUCCCAUAUGGAUCGGCGUAGCAUGAUCAUCAUUGUUGGCAUUAUCAAGGAGGAUUUACUCUGAGACCAACACCACACUUUUGCCAGCUGGUCUCUUGAUCCCUAGGAGCUUCCUUCUUAUCACAAUCCAGAUGAGCACUUUGCAAAGUAGAGACUGGUAUUCUCUCCCCUACCUCUGCCACCAUGUUGUCUCUUGAUUGGAUGGAUGACUAAGGAAUGAGUCUCAAUUCUAAUUUCCCUCCUUUCCUUCCCUCUUUCAAAUUAAAAUAUUUUGCUUCAGAAGUUGUGAAAAAAAAUGCUGGCUUUUAUCCCCUCAUCCAUUCACUAGAGGUUAAAAUUAACUCUGUUUCUAGAAUGCUAACUCUGAAGUGGCUGUCUCACAUGCUAAUGAGUUGCUUCUUUCC